CUUUCUCAUUUUCCUGAUCUUUUUCAUCUAGAGACAACCAGAGAAUCUGAUCGGGAUUCUCUGAGCGCUGAGGUGGCGUAUGAGAACAUUGAGGAAUGAGAAGAAUCAGGGACAAAGUGAGCCAGGGCCUCUUCCAAGAGAGCCACCAGGCUGGACAACUACGGGGAGAAACACUACCACUGCACAACCAGCAGAUGAACUCUUCUCUGAGAUCUAAUUCUAGAAGCCCAAGGGAUUUGGGAGCAGAAAACGUCGCAGAGAUUCCCUCCAGCCUGCCUCUGCCGAAUAGGUGUUUCUAAGGGCUGGUGAACAGUGUCUGCCAUUGGACGUUUCUUCUUUUUCUCCACACUGUCAUGGGCUCAAAAGGUAACACUGUGAGAUUGUUCAUAAAAUAGCUGGAGGAAGGCCUCACACCAGGAUUCUCCAGGAUGAAGGAACUCAAACUGUGGGCAUUUCACAUGGCUGUCAGCAAUGGACUCUGCUUUUAUACUGAGACUUGACAAUGAAAGAAACCCCAGGACCGGGCAGAGGUUUCUUCUCAAAUGUAGUCUGAUCAUAGGCUAUCCACACCUCCCCCCACCGCCAGCUCAGCAAUGGGUGUGUUCUACCAACCCAUCCCUCCCUGCUUAUCAGAAUGCACCUGUCACAUCUUGCUUCACACAUGUGCCUCUGGCCUGAGAGCAGAAUCCACCCUUUCCCUAAUCAAGCACCAAGGAUGUGCGAGUUCAUGGGAGAUAAUUGUGGCUGGUCUCUCCCUAGAGGAACCUCUACCUCCUGGUUAUUCACUCUGAUGUGUAGACAUUUGACAGUCAGGCCAGCAGCUCUCUCAUGUACUCAUGAAGGGCCAUUUUAAAACACUAUGAUAGGCUGUGCUGGGUACUCCCAGCAGAACCCAGCUAUGUUCUUGUUCCUUUUCUGCCCAGAGCCUUAGGGAGAAGGAUCUGGCUCCUGGGUUCCAGUGCAGCUGAAUGUCCCACCUGCCUCCAGGCAAGGUCUUACCUGGAUCUAUGCAGCCAGAGUGAGUCACCCUAUUGGUAUUUGUGGCUCUUGUGGUCCUACAUCCAAGUUGUGCACAACAAAGACAGAGCUCGGCCUCAUGAAGGGAACCACUCACUCAGUGAACACUCUUGCUUAGCACACACAACAGAAGCCUCCUUCAGCCUGCAGCUAUCUAGUUUUUUUUUUUAUACAAUAAAUCUUAUUU